GACGAACGCUGGCGGCGUGCUUAACACAUGCAAGUCGAACGAAGAGCGAUGGAAGCUUGCUUCUAUCACUCUUAGUGGCGAACGGGUGAGUAACGCGUAAUCAACCUGCCCUUCAGAGGGGGACAACAGUUGGAAACGACUGCUAAUACCGCAUACGAUCUAAUCUCGGCAUCGAGGAUAGAUGAAAGGUGGCCUCUACAUGUAAGCUAUCACUGAAGGAGGGGAUUGCGUCUGAUUAGCUAGUUGGAGGGGUAACGGCCCACCAAGGCGAUGAUCAGUAGCCGGUCUGAGAGGAUGAACGGCCACAUUGGGACUGAGACACGGCCCAGACUCCUACGGGAGGCAGCAGUGGGGAAUCUUCCGCAAUGGACGAAAGUCUGACGGAGCAACGCCGCGUGAGUGAUGACGGCCUUCGGGUUGUAAAGCUCUGUUAAUCGGGACGAAAGGCCUUCUUGCGAAUAGUGAGAAGGAUUGACGGUACCGGAAGAGAAAGCCACGGCUAACUACGUG
rnacentral:rRNA from 1 species